rnacentral:sRNA from 1 species
CCCCGGUCAAAAGAAAUUGACCAAACAAAACCGCCAGAGGCGGGUUGGAAGCUUCGCGUACCAAUAUAGUACCAGAAACUGUAUCAAUAAUAGCGUUAGUU